UUAGCCUACCUAUUGUAUUAAAAGCACAUCUUUUUCGCAUUAUUCACACACUCAGUAUUCGCUGCUUCAACUUCAGUAGCCUACCUCUCCGAAGAAUCACGUGGCAGUUAAAUUGAAUGUGAAAUGAACUUAAAUAUGAUUAGACUGUAGCUUACUACGUUGUCUGUAAAUAAAUAUUGAUCAUGAAAAGAAGUGGAGGGCGCUCAACCAACAUGAGUCGAAGUGCAAUCAAAAAAAUUUAAGACAACGCACACAUAUUAGGCUACUAUGGUGAGCGAGCAUUGCACCUUUUCAUUUCCAAUAAGUAACCCAUUUAUUUGUCUCUGCCUGCAAAUCGUCCUUCGAAAAGCAGUUUGCAUCCCUGAGAGAAGAAUGGGAGAAACUCCCCAAAAACAGGUGUGCCAAGCUUGUAGCGUCAUACCCAAGAAGAGUCGAGGCUGUAAUCACUGCCAAAGUGGAAUGACACAGACAGAAACUAGCGUCUCACUCUGGGAUCGGAGCGAGGAGGAAUUUUUGAAACAAGCAAACGGCAGUCGGUGGAUCCAAUCUGUUCCUCCCCAUCUGGUGUUCUUGUUUUCCGCCGCCCCCACCACAUUCAGCUGACAUGGUCUUGGAAGCCAAACAAGAGAAUAUGCCUCAGGUUUGCCGUAACUGAAAUGAGCACUACUGACUUUCCGGUCCCAGUUUAUAUGAAGUGAAGCUUAUAAAGGCUUCAUAAAGCAUUCAUAAAGUCUUUAUAUGCACUGCAUAAAUGUGUCAAAUCAUCUAUAACUGUAUGUUGUGCUCUAUGAAGGGUUCAUAAAUGUGGC
rnacentral:lncRNA from 1 species